rnacentral:lncRNA from 1 species
AAGGUGGCGUGUGCCUGUAAUCCCAGCUACUCAGGAGGCUGAGGCAGAAGAAUCACUUGAACCCACAAGGUGGAGGUUGCAGUGAGCCGAGAUCAUGCCACUGCACUCCAGCCUGGGUGACAGAGUGAGACUCCAUCUCAAAAAAAAAAAAAAAAAAACCACGCCAUUGCACUCCAGCCUGGAUAACAUAGUGAGACUCUGCUCCCCACCACUCCCUAGCAAAAAAAAAAAAAAAAAAGAAAAUAAAUAUAUAGGCCAUGUGGCUCAAUCCUGUAAUCCUAACACUUUGGAAGGCCAAGGUGGGAGGAUCACUUGAGCUCAGGAGCUCGAGAACAGCCUGGGUAGCAUAGUGACAUCGUGUCUCUACAAAAAAUUUUUUUAAAAAUUAGCCACACCCAGGCGCAGUGGCUCACACCUGUACUCCCAGCACUUUGGGAGGACAGGUGAGACCCUGUCUCUACUAAAAAUACAAAAAUUAGCUGGGCAUGGUGGCACAUGCCUGUUCUCUUGCCCAGCUACUCAGGAGGCUGAGACAGGAGAAUCACUUGAACCCGGGAGGCAGAGGUUGCAGUGAGCCGAGAUCGUGCCACUGCACUCUAGCCCGGACAACCAAGAGAGACUCUGUCUCAAAAAAAGAAAAUAAGAAAUAAAUAAAUAAUUUAUAUAUAUAUAUACAUAUAAUUAAAAAGCAAGUUGAUAGAAAAAUAUUAAGCACAUGAUAAUACAGGUAGAAGGCAGACCCAGCAGGUCAGUUUGGAAUCAGA